rfam:Trametes cinnabarina, BRFM137, WGS project CCBP01000000 data, contig: scf184401
UCAUAAUUGGAAUGAGUACAAGUUUAGUAUCUCUUAACGAGGAACAAUUGGAGGGCAAGUCUGGUGCCAGCAGCCGCGGUAAUUCCAGCUCCAAUAGCGUAUAUUAAAGUUGUUGCAGUUAAAAAGCUCGUAGUUGAACUUCAGACCUGGCCGGGCGGUCCGCCUUACGGUGUGUACUGUCUGGCUGGGUCUUACCUCUUGGUGAGCCGGCAUGCCCUUUACUGGGUGUGCCGGGGAACCAGGACCUUUACCUUGAGAAAAUUAGAGUGUUCAAAGCAGGCAUAUGCCCGAAUACAUUAGCAUGGAAUAAUAAAAUAGGACGUGCGGUUCUAUUUUGUUGGUUUCUAGAGUCGCCGUAAUGAUUAAUAGGGAUAGUUGGGGGCAUUAGUAUUCAGUUGCUAGAGGUGAAAUUCUUGGAUUUACUGAAGACUAACUACUGCGAAAGCAUUUGCCAAGGAUGUUUUCAUUAAUCAAGAACGAAGGUUAGGGGAUCGAAAACGAUCAGAUACCGUUGUAGUCUUAACAGUAAACUAUGCCGACUAGGGAUCGGGCGAUCUCAAUCUUAUGUGUCACUCGGCGACCUUACGAGAAAUCAAAGGUCUUUGGGGUUCUGGGGGGGAGUAUGGUCGGCAAGGCUGAAACUUAAAGGAAUUGACGGAAGGGCACCACCAGGAGUGGAGCCUGCGGCUUAAUUUGACUCAACACGGGGAAACUCACCAGGUCCAGACAUGACUAGGAUUGACAGAUUGAUAGCUCUUUCAUGAUUUUAUGGGGUGGUGGUGCAUGGCCGUUCUUAGUUGGUGGAGUGAUUUGUCUGGUUAAUUCCGAUAACGAACGAGACCUUAACCUGCUUAAUAGCCAGGCCGGCUUUUGCUGGUCGCCGGCUUCUUAGAGGGACUGUCUGCGUCUAGCAGACGGAAGUUUGAGGCAAUAACAGGUCUGUGAUGCCCUUAGAUGUUCUGGGCCGCACGCGCGCUACACUGACAGAGCCAGCGAGUUUAUAACCUUGGCCGGAAGGUCUGGGUAAUC